AUACGUAUGUCGCAAGCGUUAUCCGGAUUUAUUGGGCGUAAAGCGCGUCUAGGCGGCUUAGUAAGUCUGAUGUGAAAAUGCGGGGCUCAACCCCGUAUUGCGUUGGAAACUGCUAAACUAGAGUACUGGAGAGGUAGGCGGAACUACAAGUGUAGAGGUGAAAUUCGUAGAUAUUUGUAGGAAUGCCGAUGGGGAAGCCAGCCUACUGGACAGAUACUGACGCUAAAGCGCGAAAGCGUGGGUAGCAAACAGGAUUAGAUACCCUGGUAGUCCACGCCGUAAACGAUGAUUACUAGGUGUUGGGGGUCGAACCUCAGCGCCCAAGCUAACGCGAUAAGUAAUCCGCCUGGGGAGUACGGACGCAAGGAUGAAACUCAAAUGAAUUGACGGGG
rnacentral:rRNA from 1 species